rfam:Danio rerio chromosome 9, GRCz11 reference primary assembly.
GCCGGCAGCUAGCUCUCUGCAACUCUCACAUGGUCGCCCACUGAAGCUAAGCAGGGCUGCGCCCGGUCAGUACCUGGAUGGGAGACCACUUGGGAAAGCUAGGUUGCUGCCGGAA